rnacentral:lncRNA from 1 species
UGUUGACAUUUGAGUUUGCGGCGUUUGCAGAAUUGCAGAGCACUUGUUCUGUUUGAUUUUGCUUUUAACUGCUUCAGUUUUCUCAGUUGAUGUCGUAAUUAACAAUGGAAAAGGCAAUUUUAUCAACAAAUAUACUGUUGCUGAUUGACCUUCCGGACGGGCAAUUUCUGAAAACUGUUCUUCUAACCACGACAGCUGUUUGAAGUACCGAGAGCCUUCAGGAGAACCUGCAAGAUUUGGCCAAGGAAAAAGUGAAAAUUGUGAAUUGGGUUGGUGACAGCACAGUUUUGAAGCGUCCAUUCAGGUUGAUUCGUACUGAAAUGCGUGCCAAGUAAAAAUGCAAUUGUCGCUCGAAGGACCGUGGCAUGCCAAGAAGAAGCCUCAGAACCACGUCAAGCUCCGGGACCAGGAGCAGCCUCAGAAUCAUGUGAAGAUCCGUGACAAAGAGCAGCGCAAAAAUGACGAUGCGGAAUGGACGAUGACGAUUGGAACCGGAUUUAGCGUGGAUGAAACACGUCUAGUGUCGUGAAAACAAAGAACAUUCUUUUUGGUAAUGAUAAAAUGCAAUAAAAUGAUUGAUUUAGCAUUGUAA